AAUGAACGCUGGCGGCGUGCUUAACACAUGCAAGUCGUGCGCGAAGGCGGCUUCGGCUGCCGGAGAGCGGCGAACGGGUGAGUAACACGUGGGUAAUCUACCUGGGAGUGGGGGAUAACCUGGGGAAACUCGGGCUAAGACCGCAUACGAUGCUGGGACUUCGGUCCUGUUCUGAAAGCUGGCCUCUGCUUGCAAGCUAGCGCUCCCAGAGGAGCCCGCGGCUGAUUAGCUGGUUGGUGGGGUAAUGGCCUACCAAGGCGACGAUCAGUAGCCGGCCUGAGAGGGUGAUCGGCCACACUGGAACUGAGACACGGUCCAGACUCCUACGGGAGGCAGCAGUGGGGAAUCUUGCGCAAUGGGCGAAAGCCUGACGCAGCGACGCCGCGUGAGGGAUGACGGCC
rnacentral:rRNA from 1 species